GACAAUCGGAACCAGUCAGGAAAGCUGGGCCUCAGAGGGUGAUAGCCCCGUACGAGUAAUGCGAUGAUGUAUCCACGAGUAAGGCGGGACACGUGUAAUCCUGUCUGAACACGGGGGGACCACCCUCCAAGCCUAAGUACUCCUCAGCGACCGAUAGCGAACAAGUACCGUGAGGGAAAGGUGAAAAGCACCCCGACGAGGGGAGUGAAACAG
rnacentral:rRNA from 1 species